rnacentral:lncRNA from 1 species
AUGGGACGUGCUGGCAGUCAGCACGGCUGGAAAAUGGGAGCCGCAGAAGUGCUGGAGCCUUCCUUCGCUGACGUCAAAGCCAAAAUAAGUGCCUUGGUCCCUGUUUCUCCCUGCUGGGGCCAGAUGUCCGAUGGGAAGACUUUGGCAGAGGGCCGACGGGAGGCGGGAGGAGCGACGUUGGCACUCUCCCGGCAAAAUCCAUCUCUAUCAGCCUCGGAAGCCGUCUCUCGUCUCAUCUCUGGAAUUUGGAGCGAAGAGAAGGUGUUUGCACGUCCUCAGAGAGGUGAUGGUCGAGAACCAAACACAAGCUGCUACCUGCCGCCGAACAAAAACGGUGGACACAUUUCUGAAUCCGGUCUUCUUUCAUCCUUCGGGGGUGUGCUCGGGUUAUCUCGCGGCUCAAAGACCCUGGGUCUUGAUUACAGGUUUUAAACUCCACUAAAGAACCAGUUGAGCACAG